rnacentral:rRNA from 1 species
GACGAACGCUGGCGGCGUGCCUAAUACAUGCAAGUAGAACGCUGAAGGAGGAGCUUGCUUCUCCGGAUGAGUUGCGAACGGGUGAGUAACGCGUAGGUAACCUGCCAGGUAGUGGGGGAUAACUAUUGGAAACGAUAGCUAAUACCGCAUAAUAACAGUUGUUGCAUGACAACUGUUUGAAAGGUGCAAUUGCACCACUACCAGACGGACCUGCGUUGUAUUAGCUAGUUGGUGGGGUAACGGCUCACCAAGGCGACGAUACAUAGCCGACCUGAGAGGGUGAUCGGCCACACUGGGACUGAGACACGGCCCAGACUCCUACGGGAGGCAGCAGUAGGGAAUCUUCGGCAAUGGACGGAAGUCUGACCGAGCAACGCCGCGUGAGUGAAGAAGGUUUUCGGAUCGUAAAGCUCUGUUGUAAGAGAAGAACGAGUGUGAGAGUGGAAAGUUCACACUGUGACGGUAUCUUACCAGAAAGGGACGGCUAACUACGUGC